UACAGAGGGUGCAAGCGUUAAUCGGAAUUACUGGGCGUAAAGCGUGCGUAGCCGGUUACAUAAGUCGGGUGUGAAAGCCCCGGGCUCGACCUGGGAAUUGCAUUCGAGACUGCGUAGCUAGGGUGCGGAAGAGGGAAGCGGAAUUUCCGGUGUAGCGGUGAAAUGCGCAGAUAUCAGGAAGAACACCCGUGGCGAAGGCGGCUCUCUGGGACGGUACUGACGCUGAGACGCGAAAGCGUGGGGAGCGAACAGG
rnacentral:rRNA from 1 species